rnacentral:rRNA from 1 species
GACGAACGCUGGCGGCGUGCUUAACACAUGCAAGUCGAGCGGUAAGGCCCUUUCGGGGUACGACAAGCGGCGAACGGGUGAGUAACACGUGGGUGACCUGCCCUCCAGCUCUGGGAGUAAGCCUGGGAAACGUGGGUCUAAUACCGGAUAUGACUCCAUGACGCAUGUUGUGGGGUGGAAAGCCUUGUGCGGCUGAGGAUGGGCCCGCGGCCUAUCAGCUUGUUGGUGGGGUGAUGGCCUACCAAGGCGACGACGGGUAGCCGGCCUGAGAGGGCGACCGGCCACACUGGGACUGAGAUACGGCCCAGACUCCUACGGGAGGCAGCAGUGGGGAAUCUUGCGCAAUGGGCGAAAGCCUGACGCAGCGACGCCGCGUGAGGGAUGACGGCCU